ACGCUGGCGGCACGCCUAACACAUGCAAGUCGAACGAAGUAGCAAUACUUAGUGGCAGACGGGUGAGUAACAUGUGGGUAUCUACCCUUUGGCCUGGAAUAACACGAGGAAACUUGUGCUAAUACUGGAUAAGUCUUUACGGAGAAAGCUUUAUGCACCAUUGGAUGAGCCCGCAUUUGAUUAGUUUGUUGGUGGGGUAAUGGCCUACCAAGACUUUGAUCAAUAGCUGAUUUGAGAGGAUGAUCAGCCACAUUGGGACUGAGACACGGCCCAAACUCCUACGGGAGGCAGCAGUGGGGAAUCUUGCACAAUGGAGGAAACUCUGAUGCAGCGAUGCCGCGUGAGUGAAGAAGGCCCUUGGGUUGUAAAGCUCUUUCGUCGGGGAAGAAAAUGACUGUACCCGAAUAAGAAGGUCCGGCUAACUUCGUGCCAGCAGCCGCGGUAAUACGAAGGGACCUAGCGUAGUUCGGAAUUACUGGGCUUAAAGAGUUCGUAGGUGGUUGAAAAAGUUGGUGGUGAAAUCCCAGAGCUUAACUCUGGAACUGCCAUCAAAACUUUUCAGCUAGAGUUUGAUAGAGGAAAGCAGAAUUUCUAGUGUAGAGGUGAAAUUCGUAGAUAUUAGAAAGAAUACCAAUUGCGAAGGCAGCUUUCUGGAUCAUUACUGACACUGAGGAACGAAAGCAUGGGUAGCGAAGAGGAUUAGAUACCCUCGUAGUCCAUGCCGUAAACGAUGUGUGUUAGACGUUGGAAAUUUAUUUUCAGUGUCGCAGCGAAAGCGAUAAACACACCGCCUGGGGAGUACGACCGCAA
rnacentral:rRNA from 1 species